rnacentral:rRNA from 1 species
UGUUACCAAGGUUUCCGUAGGUGAACCUGGGGAAGGAUCAUUACCGAGGUUAAGGUUCCUAGCGAGCCCAACCUUCCCACCCCGUGUUUACUGACCUUAGUUGCUUCGCGGGCCCGCCAUUCAUGGCCGCCGGGGGCUUUCAGCCCCGGGCCCGCGCCCGCCGGAGACACCACGAACUUUGUCUGAUCUAGUGAAGUCUGAGUUGAUUGUAUCGCAAUCAGUUAAAACUUUCAACAAUGGAUCUCUUGGUUCCGGCAUCGAUGAAGAACGCAGCGAAAUGCGAUAACUAGUGUGAAUUGCAGAAUUCCGUGAAUCAUCGAGUCUUUGAACGCACAUUGCGCCCCCUGGUAUUCCGGGGGGCAUGCCUGUCCGAGCGUCAUUGCUGCCCAUCAAGCACGGCUUGUGUGUUGGGUCGUCGUCCCCUCUCCGGGGGGGACGGGCCCCAAAGGCAGCGGCGGCACCGCGUCCGAUCCUCGAGCGUAUGGGGCUUUGUCACCCGCUCUGUAGGCCCGGCCGGCGCUUGCCGAACGCAAAUCAAUCUUUUUCCAGGUUGACCUCGGAUCAGGUAGGGAUACCCGCUGAACUUAAGCAUAUCAAUAAGCGGAGGAAAAGAAACCAACCGGGAUUGCCUCAGUAACGGCGAGUGAAGCGGCAAGAGCUCAAAUUUGAAAGCUGGCUCCUUCGGGGUCCGCAUUGUAAUUUGCAGAGGAUGCUUCGGGUGCGGCCCCUGUCUAAGUGCCCUGGAACGGGCCGUCAGAGAGGGUGAGAAUCCCGUCUGGGAUGGGGUGUCCGCGCCCGUGUGAAGCUCCUUCGACGAGUCGAGUUGUUUGGGAAUGCAGCUCUAAAUGGGUGGUAAAUUUCAUCUAAAGCUAAAUACUGGCCGGAGACCGAUAGCGCACAAGUAGAGUGAUCGAAAGAUGAAAAGCACUUUGAAAAGAGAGUUAAAAAGCACGUGAAAUUGUUGAAAGGGAAGCGCUUGCGACCAGACUCGCCUCCAGGGUUCAGCCGGCAUUCGUGCCGGUGUACUUCCCUGGGGGCGGGCCAGCGUCGGUUUGGGCGGCCGGUCAAAGGCUCCCGGAAUGUAGUGCCCUCCGGGGCACCUUAUAGCCGGGAGUGCAAUGCGGCCAGCCUGGACCGAGGAACGCGCUUCGGCACGGACGCUGGCAUAAUGGUCGUAAACGACCCGUCU